GGAUUUUUGAGAAGUUUGAAAGUAUAAACCAAACUUUUCCAUUUUCCUUUUGAAAGUUCGUUAAAUCGAGUUACCAUUGCGCUCCCACCGCAUCGCUCUCUGCCGGCGUUGCGUUUGUGUACCGCAGGCUCCUCCUCCCCCCUGCGCCGGCGCCGCCGCCCCGGUUUCGUCGCCCUAAACGCCGUCGCCUUCCCCUUCCAGGCGCGUUCACAUUUUCCACUACGGACUCCCUCACUUCCUCUCCUGGGCGGAGUGGCGAGAGGUCAAUUUCUCGCUUCGUUCUAAUUUCCAGCCCCGUUUCGAUACGGGCAUCCGGCAGUAGCUUGUGGUCCAUGUCGGGGCCAUCAGAUCGGCGACCUCCGUCGCCUCUUCACUCUCGGCGGGUGCGGGCCGGGGCUGAGGACCCCGGGAUCUGCCAGCCUGCCAUGGAUGCCACGCGUUAUCUGAUUUCUGAGUGAUAACCCAGAUUCGACCUUGAGGCUCAUUAAAGAUCGGAUGAUAUGUGAACAAACGCCAAGCACACACACAUAAGCGGUACUCCUGAAAUCUGGAGCUGACAGGUGAUGUGAUAAUUACUGACAUGAUGCCUGAUGGUGCAAUCAAGGGGUAUAUUCGUGAUGCUGCUUUGAUGGAUGGAAGGGAUACAACAAGAAAGCAUGUGACAUGCUAGCAUGAUUUGUGUAUGUGACACAACUUUAGGUCAUGUUUGAUCUGAAGGAGCAGAAGAAGCUAAUAUCACACGUUGCUGGAAAGAUUUGGUAAGUGGUGGAACAAGAAACUAAUUAUGUUGCUCAAACAAAUUUGUUCCAGCAUGUAUCUUCUGUGUUCUGUCUAUAAUAGCUGGGAACCAACUUUUGCUGGUUUCACUUACUAA